GACGAACGCUGGCGGCGUGCUUAACACAUGCAUGUCGAGCGGAAAGGCCCUUUCGGGGGUACUCGAGCGGCGAACGGGUGAGUAACACGUGAGUAAUCUGCCCUUGGCUUUGGGAUAACCACCGGAAACGGUGGCUAAUACCGGAUAUGACGGGCUCCGGCAUCGGGGUUCGUGGAAAGUUUUUUCGGCCAGGGAUGUGCUCGCGGCCUAUCAGCUUGUUGGUGGGGUAAUGGCCUACCAAGGCUUCGACGGGUAGCCGGCCUGAGAGGGUGACCGGCCACACUGGGACUGAGACACGGCCCAGACUCCUACGGGAGGCAGCAGUGGGGAAUAUUGGACAAUGGGCGGAAGCCUGAUCCAGCAACGCCGCGUGAGGGAUGACGG
rnacentral:rRNA from 1 species